GACGAACGCUGGCGGCGUGCUUAACACAUGCAAGUCGAACGGAAAGGCCCUGCUUGCCGGGUACUCGAGUGGCGAACGGGUGAGUAACACGUGGGUGAUCUGCCCUGCACUUCGGGAUAAGCCUGGGAAACUGGGUCUAAUACCGGAUAGGAGCCAUUUUUAGUGUGAUGGUUGGAAAGUUUUUUCGGUGUAGGAUGAGCUCGCGGCCUAUCAGCUUGUUGGUGGGGUAAUGGCCUACCAAGGCGGCGACGGGUAGCCGGCCUGAGAGGGUGGACGGCCACAUUGGGACUGAGAUACGGCCCAGACUCCGACGGGAGGCAGCAGUGGGGAAUAUUGCACAAUGGGCGCAAGCCUGAUGCAGCGACGCCGCGUGGGGGAUGACGGCCUUCGGGUUGGAAACUCCUUUCGCUAGGGACGAAGCUUUUUGUGACGGUACCUAGAUAAGAAGCACCGGCUAACUACGUG
rnacentral:rRNA from 1 species